UGGGGAAUAUUGCGCAAUGGGCGAAAGCCUGACGCAGCGACGCCGCGUGAGGGACGACGGCCUUCGGGUUGUAAACCUCUUUCAGCGCCGAAGAAGCGAAAGUGACGGUAGGCGCAGAAGAAGCACCGGCUAACUACGUGCCAGCAGCCGCGGUAAUACGUAGGGUGCAAGCGUUGUCCGGAUUUAUUGGGCGUAAAGAGCUCGUAGGCGGUCUGUCGCGUCGGAUGUGAAAACCCGGGGCUUAACUCCGGGCCUGCAUUCGAUACGGGCAGACUAGAGUGUGGUAGGGGAGACUGGAACUCCUGGUGUAGCGGUGAAAUGCGCAGAUAUCAGGAAGAACACCGGUGGCGAAGGCGGGUCUCUGGGCCACUACUGACGCUGAGGAGCGAAAGCGUGGGGA
rnacentral:rRNA from 1 species